GGGACUUCUGAAUGACCUCAUGUACAUCAUCUUAUGUGCUCUGUGUUCGUUCAGUUUACAGCCGACAAUCUGCACACCAGACACAAACACACACACACACACACACACACACACACACACACACACACAGAGGGGGUGCGGCCAGAAGAGAGGCCAAAAGGGGCGAGAUCCAUCACGGACUGGCGUGGCGAUGGCGCUUUGUUUCGCUUCUCUCUUUCACCUUGAAUAACUUCCAACGGGAAGGAAAGAGAGCGAGAAAAAUAAACGACCUUUGGAACACACAGGCUGACGCUAAGUGAUAACAGACUGUUUGGAAAGGAGAGAAGGGGGGAAAGCAACACAUGCGCAGAUGGAUGGAGAGGAAGAGAGGAGAUAUGGGAAUUGAGGAUGGAUGUCGUAAUCAAGAGGGCGUAUGAUUACGCGUUAGCAUUCCAGAGCUGUGGUGCAGUGCUGUUUGGAGAGACAGAGAAGGAGAGAGAGAGAGAGAGGAACGUUGUCUAGGCGGCGACGUUGAGAACGCUGAAGAGAGGAAGUGCCCGGAAAUGACAGACCUCCAGAGCCCUGACAGGGAAAAGGGGGGAAGAGGGGGGGGCUUAGGGUUGACUUGCAGUUUUUACAGCAGCGGUCACUUCUGCAUUUCCCCCGCUGCAUCCCCCCCCCCCCCCCCCCCCACGCCAAACAUGCACAGGAAGGCACGUUUAAAAUUAGGAUUGCUGAGUUUUACCGAAAAUCAAACCAGCGCAGCACCAGAAACAAGCAGCUAGUUCAGCAUUAACUGGGAGAGCUUCACAGAAUGGAGGAGAGCAGUAAUAACACCAUCACCCUAGGCCAAUGGGGCAAUGUUGCUGAGCUCAACUGUCAUUGGUGGGGACAAGUAUGACAAAGUGGCUCACUUUGUGAAUCUAUGCAUAUAUUUACUGCAUGUGCAUCUGCUCACACAUGUCCUCGACAUACUGCAUUCUUUCAACAAAACAAAACCAAAGUUAAGUGCCCACUGGUUAAAAGAUUUCAAAGCUACUGCAGUUUUUUUUUGUCAGAUGUUUGUUAUAGAAUGUAAUAAUAGGUAUCGUUUUGAUGGAUUUGUUACCUAAAUAUGCACUUAUCCUUGCCUCAGUGAAAAUUAGAAAGACAAAUGUCUUCUGCUUCACUGAGUCUACUUAUUCUGCAUGGUAUAACACUCCCACACACACACACACACACACACACACACACACAAUCUCUCCCACUCUUAUAUAUGCCAAAGGAAGCAGAAGUAGAUGAGUAGAGUAGAGGAAAAGAAGAAGAGGGUAGGAUAAAAAGACAGAGACAGAAUGGGAGACAACAAGAGGAAGAGGCAGAGAGAGAGAGAGCAGGAAAACAGGAAAGAAGAGAAAAGCAUCAGAAAUAGUUUAAAAAAAA
ensembl:lncRNA